rnacentral:rRNA from 1 species
AACGAACGCUGGCGGCAGGCUUAACACAUGCAAGUCGAACGCCCCGCAAGGGGAGUGGCAGACGGGUGAGUAACGCGUGGGAACAUACCCUUUCCUGCGGAAUAGCUCUGGGAAACUGGAAUUAAUACCGCAUACGCCCUACGGGGGAGAGAUUUAUCGGGGAAGGAUUGGCCCGCGUUGGAUUAGCUAGUUGGUGGGGUAAAGGCCUACCAAGGCGACGAUCCAUAGCUGGUCUGAGAGGAUGAUCAGCCACAUUGGGACUGAGACACGGCCCAAACUCCUACGGGAGGCAGCGGUGGGGAAUAUUGGACAAUGGGCGCAAGCCUGAUCCAGCCAUGCCGGGUGAGUGAUGAAGGCCUUAGGGUUGUAAAACUCUUUCACCGAUGAAGAUAAUGACGGUAGUCGGAGAAGAAGCCCCGGCUAACUUCGUACCAGCCGCCGCCGUAACAC